rnacentral:rRNA from 1 species
UUAGGAAUCUUCCACAAUGGGCGAAAGCCUGAUGGAGGGACGCCGCGUGAGGGAUGAAGGCCUUAGGGUUGUAAACCUCUAAAAGAGGGACGAUAAUGACGGUACCUCUUGAAUAGCACCGGCUAACUCCGUGCCAGCAGCCGCGGUAAUACGGAGGGUGCAAGCGUUAUCCGGAAUCACUGGGCGUAAAGGGCGCGUAGGCGGUCUGUUAAGUCCGAUGUUAAAUCCCGGGGCUCAGCCCCGGAUAAGCGUUGGAUACUGGCAGGCUAGACGGUUGGAGAGGCGAGUGGAAUUACCAGUGUAGCGGUGGAAUGCGUAGAUACUGGUAGGAACUCCCAUUGCGAAGGCAGCUCGCUGGACAACACGUGACGCUGAGGCGCGAAAGUGUGGGGAGCAAACC